AUGAACGCUAGCUACAGGCUUAACACAUGCAAGUCGAGGGGCAGCAUGGUCUUAGCUUGCUAAGGCCGAUGGCGACCGGCGCACGGGUGAGUAACACGUAUCCAACCUGCCGUCUACUCUUGGACAGCCUUCUGAAAGGAAGAUUAAUACAAGAUGGCAUCAUGAGUUCACAUGUUCACAUGAUUAAAGGUAUUCCGGUAGACGAUGGGGAUGCGUUCCAUUAGAUAGUAGGCGGGGUAACGGCCCACCUAGUCUUCGAUGGAUAGGGGUUCUGAGAGGAAGGUCCCCCACAUUGGAACUGAGACACGGUCCAAACUCCUACGGGAGGCAGCAGUGAGGAAUAUUGGUCAAUGGGCGAGAGCCUGAACCAGCCAAGUAGCGUGAAGGAUGACUGCCCUAUGGGUUGUAAACUUCUUUUAUAAAGGAAUAAAGUCGGGUAUGGAUACCCGUUUGCAUGUACUUUAUGAAUAAGGAUCGGCUAACUCCGUGCCAGCAGCCGCGGUAAUACGGAGGAUCCGAGCGUUAUCCGGAUUUAUUGGGUUUAAAGGGAGCGUAGAUGGAUGUUUAAGUCAGUUGUGAAAGUUUGCGGCUCAACCGUAAAAUUGCAGUUGAUACUGGAUAUCUUGAGUGCAGUUGAGGCAGGCGGAAUUCGUGGUGUAGCGGUGAAAUGCUUAGAUAUCACGAAGAACUCCGAUUGCGAAGGCAGCCUGCUAAGCUGCAACUGACAUUGAGGCUCGAAAGUGUGGGUAUCAAACAGGAUUAGAUACCCUGGUAGUCCACACGGUAAACGAUGAAUACUCGCUGUUUGCGAUAUACUGCAAGCGGCCAAGCGAAAGCGUUAAGUAUUCCACCUGGGGAGUACGCCGGCAACGGUGAAACUCAAAGGAAUUGACGGGGGCCCGCACAAGCGGUGGAGCAUGUGGUUUAAUUCGAUGCAACGCGAAGAACCUUACCUGGUCUUGACAUCCACGGAAGUUUUCAGAGAUGAGAAUGUGCCUUCGGGAACCGUGAGACAGGUGCUGCAUGGCUGUCGUCAGCUCGUGUUGUGAAAUGUUGGGUUAAGUCCCGCAACGAGCGCAACCCUUAUCCUUUGUUGCCAGCGGUCCGGCCGGGAACUCAAAGGAGACUGCCAGUGAUAAACUGGAGGAAGGUGGGGAUGACGUCAAAUCAGCACGGCCCUUACGUCCGGGGCUACACACGUGUUACAAUGGGGGGUACAGAGGGCCGCUACCACGCGAGUGGAUGCCAAUCCCCAAAACCUCUCUCAGUUCGGACUGGAGUCUGCAACCCGACUCCACGAAGCUGGAUUCGCUAGUAAUCGCGCAUCAGCCACGGCGCGGUGAAUACGUUCCCGGGCCUUGUACACACCGCCCGUCAAGCCAUGGGAGCCGGGGGUACCUGAAGUGCGUAACCGCGAGGAGCGCCCUAGGGUAAAACUGGUGACUGGGGCU
rnacentral:rRNA from 1 species